rnacentral:rRNA from 1 species
UACAGAGGGGGCAAGCGUUGUUCGGAAUUACUGGGCGUAAAGGGCGCGUAGGUGGCCGACUAAGUCGGACGUGAAAUCCCUUGGCUUAACCAAGGAACUGCGUCCGAUACUGGCUGGCUUGAAUCCGGGAGAGGGAUGUGGAAUUCCAGGUGUAGCGGUGAAAUGCGUAGAUAUCUGGAGGAACACCGGUGGCGAAGGCGGCAUCCUGGACCGGUAUUGACGCUGAGGCGCGAAAGCCAGGGGAGCAAACGGG